AUCCAGCUGACGGGUCCCAAAUGGGACGAAACGCGCAUCCUGGAU
rfam:Schistosoma haematobium scaffold327_13, whole genome shotgun sequence.